AUUGAACGCUGGCGGCAGGCCUAACACAUGCAAGUCGAACGCGAGGGGGGGGGGGGAGUAAUGCGUGGGAAUCUUUCUCAUGGAGGGGGGGAACAACGGGAAACAGGAGCGAUAACCGCGUACCAGAGGGUGAGCCCCAGUGGGAUUAGGUAGUUGGUGAGGGAAAGGCUCACCAAGCCGACGAUCUCUAGCUGGUCUGAGAGGAUGACCAGCCACACUGGGACUGAGACACGGCCCAGACUCCUACGGGAGGCAGCAGUGGGGAAUAUUGCACAAUGGGGGCAACCUGACGCAGCCAUGCCGCGUGUAUGAAGAAGGCCUUCGGGUUGUAAAGUUCUUUCGGUAGCGAGGCGUUAACUACAGAAGAAGCACCGGCUAACUCCGUGCCAGCAGCCGCGGUAAUAC
rnacentral:rRNA from 1 species